GAGGUCUGCCAAGAACAGAGCAAUGCUGCCAGGGCUGUGGUUCCCGGUAACGCGCCGAAAGAGGACCUCUAUGGGCCAGAGGAACUCCUGGAGGCCAGGCCGGCUGGCUCUUCGUCGGGUGCCGGAGCAUCCCCCCUCCCCGCAUUCCCGAGGUGGUUCGGCCCGAGAGGCCGGCGUCUCUCCCCCAGUUUGCCGUUCACCCGGAGCGCUCGGGACUUGCCCGUAGUGGUGACGGCGGCAACAUGUCUGUGGCGUUCGCAGCCCCGAGGCAGCGAGGCAAGGGGGAGAUCACUCCCGCUGCGAUUCAGAAGAUGUUGGAUGAAAAUAACCAUCUUAUUCAGUGUAUAAUGGACUAUCAGAAUAAAGGAAAGACCUCAGAGUGUUCUCAGUAUCAGCAGAUGUUGCAUACGAACUUGGUCUACCUUGCUACAAUAGCAGAUUCUAAUCAAAAUAUGCAGUCUCUUUUACCAGCACCGCCCACACAGAAUAUGCCUAUGGGUCCUGGAGGGAUGAAUCAGAGUGGCCCUCCCCCACCUCCACGCUCUCACAACAUGCCUUCAGAUGGAAUGGUAGGUGGGGGUCCUCCUGCACCACACAUGCAGAACCAGAUGAACGGCCAGAUGCCUGGGCCUAACCAUAUGCCUAUUCAGGGACCUGGACCCAAUCAACUCAAUAUGACAAACAGUUCCAUGAACAUGCCUUCCAGUAGCCAUGGAUCCAUGGGAGGUUACAACCAUUCUGUGCCAUCAUCACAGAGCAUGCCAGUACAGAAUCAGAUGACGAUGAGUCAAGGGCAACCAAUAGGAAGCUAUGGCCCCAGACCAAAUAUGAAUAUGCAGCCAAACCAAGGUCCAAUGAUGCAUCAGCAGCCUCCUUCUCAACAAUACAAUAUGCCACAGGGAGGUGGGCAACAUUAUCAAGGCCAGCAACCCCCUAUGGGAAUGAUGGGUCAAGUUAACCAAGGCAAUCAUAUGAUGGGUCAGAGACAGAUUCCUCCUUAUAGACCACCUCAGCAGGGCCCACCACAGCAGUACUCAGGCCAGGAAGACUAUUAUGGGGACCAAUACAGUCAUGGUGGACAAGGUCCUCCAGAAGGCAUGAACCAGCAAUAUUACCCUGAUGGUCAUAAUGAUUACGGUUAUCAGCAACCGUCGUAUCCUGAACAAGGCUACGAUAGGCCUUAUGAGGAUUCCUCACAACAUUACUACGAAGGAGGAAAUUCACAGUAUGGCCAACAGCAAGAUGCCUACCAGGGACCCCCUCCCCAACAGGGGUACCCGCCCCAGCAGCAGCAGUACCCGGGGCAGCAAGGCUACCCAGGGCAGCAGCAGGCCUAUGGUCCUUCACAGGGUGGUCCAGGUCCUCAGUAUCCUAACUACCCUCAAGGACAAGGUCAGCAAUAUGGGGGUUAUAGACCAACACAGCCUGGGCCACCACAGCCGCCACAGCAGAGGCCUUAUGGAUAUGACCAGGUUUUUGUGUGGGCAUAAAUUUUCAACUCAUUUGGAUAAAAACCAAGGAGCACGCUUGCUGGAUUAUAUGGGACAGUAUGGAAAUUACCAGCAGUGAAAAAGUACUUACAUUCCAAUAGCCAGUAUCUAUUAGCAGCCAUAUUGUCACCUCAGCACUGUGGACACCUCUGUGUGAAGAGAUUCUUCCAUUCCAUCUAGUUUUUGGAAAAACCUUGUGGAUAAGUGGCUGUUUCCUCAGUAAGCAGCCUUUGUGGCUUAGUUGUAAAGGCUUUAGUAGCUAAAAAAUACUCUUGAUUUCACAUUUCUACUCUAGAUGGCAACAUUGGACAGAAAAUACAAUGACAUAACCAAUUUGCAAUGAUUUGGGAACUGUGUUUCAAAUGGACUGUUAUAGACUGAAAGGUGUGAACAGCUUUGUAUGUUUAUGAAGGUUAAGGGAAUUUAAUACUUUUCCACAGAUUCUUUUGUAAGGGGAAGAGGGAAAUGUACACUUUUUACAGCAGCAAUAUUUUGUAUAUUAUGUUUAUUUCAUGUGGUGAAUAUGCAAGGCGGUACACUACGCAUUGGACAGAAUCCGAAAUCCUCUGUUAAAAUGUGGAUUGGAGCAUGGUGGAUGCUUGAUUGUGUUGGGUCUCAAAAUGGUGUACUAUAAAAGAUAAAGGUGAGGGAGAAGACAAAGCACACCAUAUGUCCACUAUUAUGUUCUUUAGAGAAAAUUCAGAUCCCUUUUAUCUGUUAGAUAAACAAGGGCACUGUGAUAGUUUUGAGUAAAAAGACAUUUUUUUAAAAGCUUUCCAGUUUUGUGGAUUAAAACCUUUUUAUAAAGAUCAUUUAUAAUACAGUUUUAAAAUGUGAGGCAAUAAGAAUUAUUUCAUGUGGGAUCUGAAGAAUCUUGGUAGCAGUUUCAUGUAAAUGAAGUGGUAAUUCUCUCCUAAAAUAGCAAUAACUGAAAAUGGAAGUGUUAAUUUUACUUUGAGUAAUCAGGGAACUUAGUAAGUAAUAUCAAAGCAUUUUAAAAAUAAUAUCAGAGAGGAGUCAACAUUGAUCUAGUAAUUUUAUUUUUUAACAUUAGAAGGACAAUUGGUUUAUAUAAUAGAAUAGUUCAGUAGACUUUACAAACCUUUAUUUCAACUUCCUUCCCUGGAAAUAAUACCAUUUAUAAAAGGACACUCUUAAAUUUUUCCCUUCUUAUUUUGGUUAAUGUAACACAAAGAGAUGUUUAGGAAAAUGCUUAUUGAUGAGGUUUAUUCUGAUGAGGUUUAGUCUAUAUUAAAAGCAUAGAGGUUGCAUUCUAGAUCACUUUGUUUAUUAGCGUGGCAUAUUUAAUCAUAUUUGAGACUGUCCUAUGCCUGAUUAUUUUAGCUAAAUUCAGGGAUAUUGCAUUGGGCAGGAAAUCAUGCAUUGAAAAGUUUAUAACCACAAUUAUUUAAGCAUAAUCUGAAAACAUCUAGCCCAAAGGUAAGUUGCUAUUUUCAUCACAGUUGCCUAUGCCCAGGGAAUAAGAUGUAUUCUUUAUAAUUGAAUUGAUUUUUCCCACUUCUAACUGGAAACAAAACAGAAGGGGUGCCAUAAAUUUGAAUACGCAAAAUGUACUGUUCUCAACAUACUGUAAUCAAAAGGAGGAAUUUUAAUGUGUUUCUGUGUGUGUAUGAGAGAGUGUGUGUUUUAAGGUCUGAAUAGAGUUUUUUUGAACUUGGUCAGUAGAAAAUGGACAUCAAGUUUGAACAGAUAAAGCAUGGACAGCCUUAUUGUGAUUGAAAAUGCUUAUAGGUUCUGUGCCAAUUUUCCACCACUGUGUACUUUGUUGCUAUUUAAAACUGUAUCAACUCUAACGGAAGAAUAAAUUAUUUGUGAUUUUAA